UAAGGGCGGUGUCGCAAUAGCGAAUGUUCACUUCCGGUCUAGCAGCGACGGAGAAAACCCCGUCCUUAAACCAGUGCAGAGGAAUGGCGGCUGUUCCAGUAAGCUCUCGGUUUUUGGGUUUAGGGAUUCAGCACGGCAAAGAGGAGAAAGGACAGAAAGAUCCAGACUAUCUGUCAUCAAUGUUGGAGCUUGUGUUGGAGCACAAAAAUGAGAGGAUCCCCUUGAAUAACCCAGCUGGUGCCACUUUGACAAUUGGAAACAUCGAUGAAACCAUCUACAGAGGGAAGAUGGACGUGCUGAAUGGGUGGAACAAAUUUUACCUUCCAGAUAUCGUAAGCAUGCAGGUCUUGGGCGUAGUGACGGGGACUUCGUGCCCGGGGGACCAUCUCGUUCUGAUGACCUGUGAGGACAAAAAGCUGUACGCCUACGAUGGAGAGGAGCUGCAUUUGGUGGCUUCAAGCCUGGAGCAGCUACUCAAACAGGGAAUCGAGUAUCCAGCAGACAAGUCGUACUACAAAGGAGAGGCCUUCCCAAAGACGGACUGGGAGAAAGUGAGGAAGGGCGCUGUUGGCAGACGAUUGGACCAAGAGCAUCAAAAACUGGUGACCGCAACCAAGUCAGAAUUCCUGAAGAAUCUCAGAUCCAUCCAAAAAGCAACAUGCAAAUGAUCACUUGUGUGGAGUGGUGUCGAAUAUGUAAAUGUUUAAAUACACACGAAUAUCUGAGGAUUCUGCAAUAUAACUGUUGUGUUAUGAUUAAAAAACCAAAUGUACAUUGUCUUGAAUUACAUUUUUUUUUUCACAAUUAAAAUAUUUUCUAAACCCGUGUGAGGAUAAAAUGCAAACCGACAAACGUAUGAUGAAGUUGAAUUCUGUGACCAGCUUUAUUACACAACAGAACUUCACCUUCAAACUCAUUUAAAUGCCGUUAUUUGGUCGUCACAUCUACAUGAAAUAUAAAAACACGUUGCUCGAGGACGUCUACAUUCUUAUGUACCGGCAUUACAACACGCCCCGCUAAAGCAGAACUCAAAGUUCAAACUAGAUACUCUGAUGGUGUACUAAGUUUCUACAACACCAGCAUUUUAAAAAAUUGUUUUAGUCCUGCAACUUCUCCGCCACGGUUGAAUGAACCCACCGACGCAGACGUCCUGCCGCUGGGGCAAGAUCAUCAUUUUGUUGUUCAUGUUUUUUGGGGAGAAGUUCUUAAAGAAGAAGAGAGAAUUGGCCAGUGUUGAGCAAACCAGUAACGACGGCAUUCCAGUAGAACAAACACACUGAACUCCUCCCUGAUCUCUACGUACUGGAAAGAAACUAAGGAGUGGUACCCGACUGCGGAUGUGGAGCUUCACUUCUUGCUUUCUGUUUCAUUUACUGAGGACUCCGCCAUGGUGAGAAGCUGCUCUGAAGGCCUUGUCCAUGUCGAUAUUUAAUAUCCAUAUUAUUGAACUGCACAUUGAUCAUUUCCGCUGUUCUUGUUGAAAUGUGUAACUGUUGUAAUGUGCUGUGUGUUAUUUCAGGCUUCUAGAGAGCAACAAGAAAGGUGCGUAAACUGAUUCAUGAGUCAUCAGAGAAGAAGCCUUUCUGAUAGAUCAGGAUCCAUUCAGACGAAAUGCUUAUAAGCUCAUCGUUAAAAUGAGCGAAGCUGGUGGUGGUACCAAACAUCUACUGGAUGAGAUGCUUCACAGCAUCUUCUUUUUGGGGAAAGUCAACGAGCCGACGUUUUCUCCAGAAAGCAUCCUGCUGGAUGAGGAGGUGUUAACUGAGUUGAAGAAGUUGUUCCCUCGGGCCUUUGAGCUCUUUUCCUCCCACCUACCCAGACGGAGUCCAUUUUCAUGUGUGCUGGACAUGAUUGUCCUCCUGAAAGGACGAGAAGGAGAAAUACUCAGUGGCCUACGAGAGCUCAUCAUUGGCCUGGAGCUCGGUGACUCAAGGGAGCUGAUCUCCUCCACCCUCUGCGUCUCGCACAGAACCGACAUCAGAAAUCCAGUCAAGUACUACGGAGUCUCCAUGGCCGCUCCCAGUGCUAUUGCUCCCAAAAAAGGUCCCUUUCCUCGGCGAUUCGUCAUCGCGGCGUCCUGUCUCUACUACUGGGACGAGUAUAUAGCUGGUGCAGUGCUCACCUACUAUCCAACCAAGCAAAAGAAACAAGAUUAUGAUGGAACCAUCCAGCUUCCACAGUGGGUGAGGUGCCAGGCGUUUAGCCUCAGCCAGGAAGAAGAAACUCCUCCGUGCCUCUCAUGUAGCAAUUUGUUUGGUUUGAGGACAAACUCUAAUGAUGAGUGGGUCUACGGCAACUGUGGCGAGGUUGAAAGUUUGAGCAACUUGUUCAAAACGGAGGGUGACGUCAAACAGCGAGCACGACCAACAUCUCCCUUGUACUCAGAUGAGAGGAGGGACCACUAUAAAAGGGAAAUGUGUAAAGAUCUGAUAAAUUGCCUGAGACAAAAGGAAUUUACCUGGAGGGAGGGAGAUUUCUACAUCCCCCCCUAAAAGGGAGAAUGAUAAAUAUCCUGUUGAUGAGAAGGCCAACAAUUCUUAGGAUGAUUACUUUUGAUGGUUAUUCCCCAUAAAACAAUGAUGAUCUCCCUGCAUCGACAGUUACUGGGGAGCUGGUGGUUCAACGCUUGUUGUUAAUGAUCCAGGUACUUAAUUAUGAUAAAGAUAUGAAUGCAAAGCAGGCAGAAGAUAUAAAGAGUUGAUGCAUUGAUCAUUUAAGUCACAAUAAAUUUAUAAAGAUUG